CGAGCAGGAACUCUACAACCAUUAAGCCUUCCACUCCAUCCCCCCCAUUCUCCCACCCCCUGUGCUGUUUUCUUUUUUCACCUAAACAAGAUUUCCGCCUGGCCCGUCACACUGUCUCCUCAUACCCCAUGUACACAUCUCUGGAGGCGCAGGAUAGAGAGCUGCAGUAAUGGAGCUUGCAUGUAUAUGGCAGCUAUUCCAUGAGGCCCUUGACGCCCUCACACCUCAGCCUCGCUGAUAGGAGGCAGAGCUGGGAACCCACGGAGCCUAAGAGGCUAAGCUUGGCCCUCGGGAUGUUGCCAGGCCCCACAGCUUCCCCCACAGGGAAGGGACCAGAAACCAGACCCCCAGGCUCUUCCACCAUCAGGGCUGCCUCAGGCUCUGACCAGUGUCCUUGCCCUCUUCCCGUCCACCCUGUCUCCGUGGGGAGCGUUCCUGGAGAAUCUCCGUGUGACGGUGGGGAGAGAACAGAGGCCUCCCUGAAGCGGCCUGGGUGCCAAUCCCUGGCUUGUCUGUGGCUGCUCCCCGCAGGAGCUCCGUGCGAUUACUGAUCCGCAAAGUACAGCAUGCCCCACUUGAGAUGGGUCCCCAGCCCCGAGCUGAGGCGGCCUGGCAGUUCUUCAUGUCUGACAAGCCCCUGCACCUUGCGGUCUCGCUCAACAAAGAGAUCUAUUUCCAUGGGGAGCCCAUCCCUGUGACCGUGACUGUCACCAAUAACACAGAGAAGACCGUGAAGAAGAUUAAAGCAUUCGUGGAACAGGUGGCCAACGUGGUUCUCUACUCGAGUGAUUAUUACGUCAAGCCCGUGGCUAUGGAGGAAGCGCAAGAAAAAGUGCCGCCAAACAGCACUUUGACCAAGACACUGACGCUACUGCCCUUGCUGGCUAACAAUCGAGAAAGGAGAGGCAUUGCCCUGGAUGGGAAAAUCAAGCAUGAGGACACAAACCUUGCCUCCAGCACCAUCAUUAAGGAGGGCAUAGACCGGACCGUCCUGGGGAUCCUGGUGUCUUACCAGAUCAAGGUGAAGCUUACGGUGUCAGGCUUUCUGGGAGAGCUCACCUCCAGUGAAGUCGCCACUGAGGUCCCAUUCCGCCUCAUGCACCCUCAGCCUGAGGACCCAGGUCAGUUAUGUCCUUUUUUAGCUUUCUUUAAUUAUUUACUACUUGCAGAUUUAUUGUUGAUGUAUUUCUAGUCUUUCUUGACCACACCUCAGAGCAUGGGAGUGGCCAGGUGUAAGAGAUUCCAUGUGAUCUGCAAGGUGAAUAGUCUAGGGGGAAGGGAGGGCCCAUCUGUUCAGCGCUGAGCCGGGUAGAUUAUCCACCUUCAGCUGGAGUCUGCAAGACGUAGCAUCCUUGCUCUUGGACAGGGACAAUCUCACGAGGUUUUAUCAAGAAUGAUUUAAGAGCAGAAGCUCUGCUGUCAACAGACCUGGAUUUAGAAUUAAAGAUGAUUUAGGUAAAAACUUAAUUUGAGAGCACGAGAAUUUUGCAUUUCAUUUGGAAACAAAGGCCUCAGGUUUCAUUUGAAAGCAUUAACAGACAUUUAAAAGAAGAUAAUUUUUUUUUUUUUUUGAGACGGAGUCUCACUCUGUCACCCAGUCUGGAGUGCAGUGGUGUGAUCAAGCUUACUACAGCCUCGACCUCCUGGGCUCAAGCCACCCUCCUACCUCAGCUUCUGAAGUAGCUGGAACUACAGGCAUACCACCACCCUCAGCUAAUGUUUUUGAUUUUUAGUAGAGAUGAGGUCUUGCCAUGUUGCUCAGGCUAGUCUUGAACUCCUGAGCUCAAGUGAUCUUUCUGCCUCAUCCUCCCAAAGUGCUGGGAUUACAGGCAUGAGCCACUACACCUGGCUGAAGAUAACUUUUUUUGUUUGUUGUUGUUUUUCUGAGAUGGAGUCUCUGUCACCCAGCUGGAGUGCAGUGGCACAACCUUGGCUCACUGCAACCUCUGCCUCCUGGGUUCAAGUGAUUCUCAUGCCUCAGCCUCCUGAAUAGCUGGGAUUACAGGCGCCUGCCACCCCACCGGGCUAAUUUUUGUAUUUUUAGUAGAGAUGGGUUUUCACCAUGUUGGCCAGGCUGGUCUCAAACUCCUGGCCUCAGGUGAUCUGUCCACCUCAGCCCUCCAAAGUGCUGUGAUUACAGGCGUGAGCCAAUGUGCCCGGCCUGACUUAAUUUUUUAAAGUUCUUUUCCAUAUACAACUUUCACGUUCCAGUCAUUAUGGCCUUAACGGUGAACAUAUCACAAUGUCAGGAUGAAAGAAUGAUCUUUUGUACUGUGAGAUUUCUGGGAGCAAAGGUUAAGACAAAUCACCCCAUGGUUACAAAAUUCUGAUUUCUAGAGAUAUGAGAUAGAUAUGAGAUAGAUGAGAUUUCUAGAGAUAAAUGUCAUCUCUCCUGUCUUCUCUGCCUGGUUCUCGGCUCCCUGAGUCUAGGCUGGUAAGAUUCUAAGCAGAGAAAGCAUAAGCUAUAUGUAGUUAAGCCCUGCUGGAGCCUGGGGACCAAGUAAUUUGUGUGUAAUAAGUGCUGUGACAUGCUACCAAGUUUUUAUUGUCCCCUGUCAAGGGCAUCUGUACUGAAUCCGAAGAUGCUGAUUUGAUUCUUCCUUGUUGUCUACCUCUGCAAGGCUGAUGGUCCUGCUUAGUGUCAUUCCUUCGCUUAGCACUGUGGGCCGCAGGGUAUUUCUUGCCCAGGGGAUGUUUUGACAAGCUAGCCUCUCUAGGGCCCCUGUAUGUAGCGACGCUCAUAGACGCUCCCUCCCAGUGCUGGCUUCCAGGUGGGCACCAGAGACGAGAGCAGGGGUUCACCAUCAAAUCGCUGCUGUGCUCCUCAAAACUAGGUGGGCAGAAAGCUAAAAAAGUACAAAAACCAUUCAAAUUAAUAGUAGUUAGUCUGGGGAUACAACACAUGUGAAAACAUAACCCAACAACAACAAAAUCAAUAAGUUAACAGAAAUUGAAAACUUUGCGGCUGGGGGUUGGUCCUCAAGCUUUAAUGCACACCCUAACCCUGGGGUGCUGGCGAACGUGAAGUCCCAGGUCUUAGCCCUCUGAAGCCUGACAGAUGGAGGUGCCAGGGUGCACAUGCUCACGGCACCCUGGCGACCCUGACCUCAAUGGGGUCCAGAGGACAUGGAAGGAGAAAUACUUUGAAAGGUGAAGCAACUGGCUGGGCAGGGAGGCCAAGGCGGGCGGAUCACUUGAGGUCAGGAGUUCGAAACCAGCCUGGCCAACAAGGUGAAACCCCGUCUCUACUAAAAAUACAAAAAUUAGCCAGGCAUGGUGGUGGGUGCCUGUAAUCCCAGCUGCUUGGGAGGUUAAGACAGGAGAAUCACUUGAACCUGGGAGACGGAGGUUGCAGUGAGCUGAGAUUGUGCCACUUCACUCCAGCCUGGGCAACAGAGCAAGAUGCCAUCUCAAAUAAAUAAAUAAAUAAAUAAAUAAAUAAGGAAGGAGAAGCGACAUCAGAGGGGGGCAAGGCUGAUCAGGGAAAGCAUCCUAGAGGUGAGACUGGGGGGGGGUUUCAUUUGAGGAGGUGAAGGCUGUGGCACAUUGUAAAGGAAGCAGCGAUUUAAAAUGCAAGGAGAGGCCGGGUGCGGUGGCUCACGCCUGUAAUCCCAGCACUUGGGAGGCCGAGGCGGGCAGAUCACUUGAGGUCAGGAGUUUGAGACCUGCCUGGCCAACAUAGUUGAAACCCCUUCUCUACUAAAGAUACAAAAAUUAGCCCGGUAUAAUGGCGCAUGCCUGUAAUCCUAGCUACUUGGGAGGCUGAGGCACGAGAAUCUCUUGAAACCAGGAGGCAAAGGUUGUAAUGAGCAGAGAUUGUGCCACUGCAUUCCAGCCUGGGUGACAGAGAGAGACUCAGUCUCAAAUAAACUAAACUAAACUAAACUAAACUAAACUAAACUAAACUAACUAACUAAACUAAACUAAACUGAACUAAACUAAACUAAGCUAAA
rnacentral:sRNA from 1 species